UUUGGGUUUCUUAAUUAUGAGUUCGUAUUUCUUAUUCAGCUUUGCCUUGCUAGAUAAACCAAAUAAUUUUGAACUGAGUAGUUUUUAAUUCGUAUUCAGCUUUGCCUUGCUAGAUAAACCAAAUAACUAUUAUCCGAGGAAACAGGUUAUAUCAAGUGUUCCUCGGAAUUUCCUCGGUAUUUCUUAAAAAAAAAAAGAAUAAU
rnacentral:lncRNA from 1 species